rnacentral:rRNA from 1 species
UCGGAGUCUGCAACCCGACUCCGUGAAGCUGGAUUCGCUAGUAAUCGCGCAUCAGCCAUGGCGCGGUGAAUACGUUCCCGGGCCUUGUACACACCGCCCGUCAAGCCAUGGGAGCUGGGGGUGCCUGAAGGCCGUGACCGCGAGGAGCGGCCUAGGGUAAAACCGGUGACUGGGGCUAAGUCGUAACAAGGUAAC